AGUGAACGCUGGCGGUAGGCCUAACACAUGCAAGUCGAACGGCAGCACAGUAAGAGCUUGCUCUUACGGGUGGCGAGUGGCGGACGGGUGAGGAAUACAUCGGAAUCUACUUUUUCGUGGGGGAUAACGUAGGGAAACUUACGCUAAUACCGCAUACGACCUACGGGUGAAAGCAGGGGAUCUUCGGACCUUGCGCGAUUGAAUGAGCCGAUGUCGGAUUAGCUAGUUGGCGGGGUAAAGGCCCACCAAGGCGACGAUCCGUAGCUGGUCUGAGAGGAUGAUCAGCCACACUGGAACUGAGACACGGUCCAGACUUCUACGGGAGGCAGCAGUGGGGAAUAUUGGACAAUGGGCGCAAGCCUGAUCCAGCCAUACCGCGUGGGUGGAGAAGGCCUUCGGGUUGUAAAGCCCUUUUGUUGGGAAAGAAAAGCAGCAGGUUAAUACCCCGCUGUUCUGACGGUACCCAAAGAAUAAGCACCGGCUAACUUCGUG
rnacentral:rRNA from 1 species